UACGGAGGAUCCGAGCGUUAUCCGGAUUUAUUGGGUUUAAAGGGUGCGUAGGCGGCCUAUUAAGUCAGGUGUGAAAUACGGUGGCUCAACCAUCGCAGUGCCUUUGAUACUGAUGGGCUUGAAUCCAUUUGAAGUGGGCGGAAUAAGACAAGUAGCGGUGAAAUGCAUAGAUAUGUCUUAGAACUCCGAUUGCGAAGGCAGCUCACUAAGCUGGUAUUGACGCUGAUGCACGAAAGCGUGGGGAUCGAACAGG
rnacentral:rRNA from 1 species